UUUAAGAGCCCAAUUAACUGUACACGCACAGAACAGCUGACGAACGGGACAACAUCCUUGUGAGCAACGCUCUCUCCUUCCUUCACGCCAGUUCCCACUCCACGGAGAAGUUAAGUCACCUUCACCAUGAAUUAUUAUUCAUAACUUACUCAGCUGAAUAAACCAGUCGGCCACCAUGGGCCGUUUGAACAUAAAUUCGUUUAAGCACGCACCGGGGGAGGCUCUCCGCAGUCAGCACGCCACGCAGGACAGCCAACUUUCAUCCUCAGCCUCACCCCGGGUGCCCACGUCUCCUUUUGUCAGCACGCCCCGCUCUGCUGCGGGUUUCUCAUUACCCCAGAGCCCCGACACCACCACACAAAGGUGUCACACGAGGGCCGCCUGCAGCCCCGCCGGCCUGCGGGGGCAUGCCCGAAUUACACGGAGCGCAGGGCGAGGAGCACCCGCCGGCCCUCGGAGGGGCACACGCCCAGCCCCGAGGACCACCAGCAGCCCUGGAGGGCCGGGAGGCAAUGCCCUGGCGUUUGGGCACCUCAAGGCAAGAUGCUGAAUAGCGUGAUGGGAGUUUACCUCUCUAGGAAUGCGGCCGGUCAGGUCCCGAUGCAAAACUAUACUGGGAAGGAUGCCUCUUCCGUCCUCAGCUCCCCAGAUGGUGAUUAUCACAACCUCCUUCAGCAAGGAAGAGAGUAUAAAGGAAACUGCAGCUCGAUGAAGGCAGAGCCGUUUUCUGCCUACCAGUCUCCUUGGUCUGUUCUACAUUAGUAGGGUUCAGGGAUUUCAAGAGCUAUUCCUGACUUACACUGAUCACUGGAGAAUCAGGUCCUAUGCUGGGAAGACAGCAGAUGGAUGGCAGAUGAUAUUGAAGCCUGCUUUAACAACUAUGGAAGGUUUAGUGUAUCGAACCCGCAUGUGAAAAGGUAUUUGAGUGGUUCUGUAGUUAUUUCAGAAUUAGCUGAAAGAUUUCAAAAAAUCUUGUGAAGGGUUACAAGUUUUGUGUAUUGUAAAUAAAGCUGGAUUUUCACAGCAAGGUUUGCAGUUAAAAAAAACACUACCUAGCUGAAAAGUGAAAUCUGGCAUAUUUAUUAAAA